rnacentral:rRNA from 1 species
ACUCAAAUGAAUUGACGGGGGCCCGCACAAGCAGUGGAGUAUGUGGUUUAAUUCGAAGCAACGCGAAGAACCUUACCAGGGCUUGACAUUGUCUUGAAUAUCCUGGAGAUAGGAUAGCCCUUCGGGGCAAGAUAACAGGUGGUGCAUGGUUGUCGUCAGCUCGUGUCGUGAGAUGUUGGGUUAAGUCCCGCAACGAGCGCAACCCUUAUUGUUAGUUGCCAGCAUGUAAAGAUGGGCACUCUAGCGAGACUGCCGGUGACAAAUCGGAGGAAGGUGGGGACGACGUCAAAUCAUCAUGCCCCUUAUGUCCUGGGCUACACACGUACUACAAUGGCCAUAACAGUGGGACGCGAAAUUGUAAGGUGGAGCAAAUCCCCAAAAAUGGUCCCAGUUCGGAUUGUGGGCUGAAACCCGCCCACAUGAAGUCGGAAUUGCUAGUAAUGGCAGGUCAGCAUACUGCCGUGAAUACGUUCCCGGGCCUUGCACACACCGCCCGU